rnacentral:rRNA from 1 species
GACGAACGCUGGCGGCGUGCUUAACACAUGCAAGUCGAACGGAAAGGCCCUGCUUGCAGGGUACUCGAGUGGCGAACGGGUGAGUAACACGUGGGUGAUCUGCCCUGCACUUCGGGAUAAGCCUGGGAAACUGGGUCUAAUACCGGAUAGGAGCCAUUUUUAGUGUGAUGGUUGGAAAGUUUUUUCGGUGUAGGAUGAGCUCGCGGCCUAUCAGCUUGUUGGUGGGGUAAUGGCCUACCAAGGCGGCGACGGGUAGCCGGCCUGAGAGGGUGGACGGCCACAUUGGGACUGAGAUACGGCCCAGACGCCUACGGGAGGCAGCAGGGGGGAAUAUUGCACAAUGGGCGCAAGCCUGAUGCAGCGACGCCGCGGGGGGGAUGACGGCCUUCGGGUUGUAAACUCCUUUCGCUAGGGACGAAGCUUUUUGUGACGGUACCUAGAGAAGAAGCACCGGCUAACUACGUG